rnacentral:rRNA from 1 species
GAAACAACUCUCAGCAACGGAUAUCUUGGCUCUUGCAACGAUGAAGAACGCAGCGAAAUGCGAUACGUAGUGUGAAUUGCAGAAUAUUGUGAAUCAUCGAGUUUUUGAACGCAAGUUGCGCCCGAAGCUCGUCCGAGGGCAUUUCCGCUAGAGCGUCACC